rnacentral:rRNA from 1 species
UAGUCCACGCCGUAAACGAUGGUCACUAGCUGUUCGAACUUCGGUUUGAGUGGCUAAGCGAAAGUGAUAAGUGACCCACCUGGGGAGUACGUUCGCAAGAAUGAAACUCAAAGGAAUUGACGGGGGCCCGCACAAGCGGAGGAGCAUGUGGUUUAAUUCGAUGAUACGCGAGGAACCUUACCUGCCCUUGACAUUGACAGAAUCCUGUAGAGAUACGGGAGUGCUUCGGCCUGGAAAACAGGUGCUGCAUGGCUGUCGUCAGCUCGUGUCGUGAGAUGUUGGGUUAAGUCCCGCAACGAGCGCAACCCUUAUUUUAGUUGCCUUAUGGAACUCUAAAAAGACUGCUGGUUAUAAACCGGAGGAAGGCGGGGAUGACGUCAAGUCAGCAUGCCCCUUACACCCUGGGCUACACACGUGCUACAAUGGGUNAGACAAUGAGAUGCAAAUCUGCGAAGACAAGCUAAUCUAUAAACUCACUCUAAGUUCGGA